GUGUCGCGUCCCGGGACCGGACGACAGGAGGCAUGUUCUGCGCUAGCACCGUGACUUUGUUCCCAGCGUGGGGACUGUGGGAGAGAUGGAGAGAGACUGGUACAGAAAUGGUGAGACAAGGAGAGAGCCAUAAAGAGGAAGACAGAGAGAAAGAAGACAAAUGCAUAAAGAGGUUCAGAGACGUGUGACUGUGGAGAUCGAAGGCCUGGUUUUAGGGCUAGCGAACACCUUCUCCCUUUGGUUUUGGUCCACAGAAGACUGGUGAUACAGAGCAUCCUCGCCAGGAGAGGCAGAGUCCAUGGAGCAGCCGAGACAGCUGUGGAAGAGAAGGUGCCAUGCGGAGCUACUGAGAGAGAGGGAAGGGCACCCCAUCACUACACACAGCAAAAAAUGACCUUCUGCCAAAGAAGCUGAUGGUUCAGGAAGAAAAUAGAGCUGACUAUCCCUGAAGGAAAAGGAAACGUGGUACUGUUUUGCUUUAUCACAAAUACAAACAAAAGGUUUAAAGAUGGAAAGAAAAGAACAGAAAGGAAAAAGAGUGAAAAGCCAGGAAAAGCACCUAGGAGGAAUAGCCCUCUGCUGCCAUACU
ensembl:lncRNA AJUBA-DT AJUBA divergent transcript